rnacentral:sRNA from 1 species
UGCCUUGAUGACGAACAUAGAUGGAAU